rnacentral:piRNA from 1 species
UGAUUUUUUUGUUUGUUUGUUUUUUAAGC